GAAAAAGAGUCAGCCUCGGGGAACUCGGGACACAGCCAACCCCAGGAAUGUGCCUUUGGGUCAGAGCCCAGCCCAGCUCUGCUCCCACGGGGAGAGAUGGGGAGAGAUGAUCCCAACGCGUGACUCUAAGGGCCGAAUACUAAAGGCUUCUGUAUACUCAGGGCCACAGAAGCUCAACCGCAUCCACUGGAAAGGCUCUUAUUCGCAAUUUAAAACACAAAAAUGAAAAAAAGAUACAGACAGCCCAACUAAAUCCUUGAAAUGCAGCGUGGCGUGAAAGUGAAAAUGGAGCGGCAUUUUAGUUAACGAGGGUCUCGAUGCCAUUUACAGGAAUGCAGUUUCUACAGGGUUCUGCUUUGCAGAGACCUCUCCUGAUAAUAAUGAUACAUUUACUCAUAACAA
rnacentral:sRNA from 1 species